AACACUUACCACUUUGACAUAAAACUGAGAAAAUGUUGACAGCCAAACAAUGACUAGUGAAAACCACAUAAUACAAAGUUCAUAGUUCAUCACAAGUUCACAACAACAUUGUUGAAAGUGCAUGGUUCAUCACAACAUCAUUCAAGGUUCAUAGUUCAUCACAACAGCACACAUAAUUCGAAGUUCAUCACAACAAAAGAAAUGGCACGAGAUGAUCACGUUGACCUCAACAAUCCACAUGAGAAGAUCAUGUAGACAUCCAUCUUCAAAAUAGCAAGAGCAACACCCACAUGGCGAAUAUCUACAUGUAACACAGAUUUGUAAACUUGAUAUUCUCAAUAUGUCAAGAUAGGAAAACUGAGACAUGUAAAAACAUUAGUUACCAAUUGUUGUCACCCCCCACAUCAACAAUCUUGGGCAACUUGAUAUUCUCAACAGCGUUCUCCUCAUCUUCAUCCCUCUC
rnacentral:lncRNA from 1 species